rfam:Triticum aestivum genome assembly, contig: Triticum_aestivum_CS42_TGACv1_scaffold_640856_T_2AS-0.174549_7AL-0.125993
UAAGUACUCCCUCCGUUUCGAAUUAUUCGUCGCAGAAAUAGAUGUAUCUAGUUGUAUUUUAGUUCUAGAUACAUUCAUUUCUGCGACGAGUAAUUUGGAACGGAGGGAGUAUAUC